GAGAGAGUUGUAUUAACAAAAUUGAACAUUACGAUACUACAUGAUGUCCAUGAAGCCUUUAGUCAGCUUGACACGUGAUACUUCAAGUGACUAGUUGGCAUAGGGCCUGUCAUGCCCAACUAGGUACCUGUACAUGUACCCAAAAAGAAUACUAGGCAAAGGCCGCUCCAGGGAGAGAUGGAGCUCACCAAAAUAUCAGUUGAAAACGACAAUAGAGCCUAACGUGGAUGUCUGUUAUCCUGAGAAUCUGAGCCUGCAUUAAUAAAACAAAGUGGGACCGAGAUGUCAGUACAUAAAAAAUUUGUACUGAUAUGAAAGCAGAUAGAAUAACAGCUGAACAAGUACAGAAGCUCAUAUAAGUCAAAUGAUAAAGUGAAGUACGUAUGAGCCAAUUAGUAACACAUAGGAGUAUAUGAUAUGAAUUGAUAACUUUUGUACGAACCUUACUAGUAUCUUAUACAAUGUUUAAAAAAAACAUUCAUUAUAAUUUAGGGCUUAUACUUUGUCUAGGUGAUGCUCCUAUCCUAUAAGUCAUACACAUAAUCACAAGAUGGCCUUCCGAAGGCGAUCUGAGGCAAGUAUAAAGCAUACGUUGCUCUCAUACUCAUUGCUAUGAUAACAUAUGUGUAACUGUAAUCGUAGUCUGUAUCGUAUCCAGGUACGCCACUCCCAGGGGCUCACUAUGAGGGUCUGUCCGCAGGCCAUAUAUGUCAUAUGUUGGCUCGAGUCAGGGGAAACUAAUAAAGAAUGUUUCAGUUGACUUCAAAUACAAAUGACGCCACAAAGGCGGGUACGCCCAAUGAUUGGGCUCACUAUAGUGGCCUGGUCUCGACCUUGUGCACAGAAUCACGUCGAGCGAUAUGUGAAGCCAAACCUAUGUACCCUCCCAUCGUUAAUGUUUAUCAAAUAAUGCCCCAAAGGCCUAUAACACAUGAGUUACGAUAAUGAUUUUUUAACUAACCAUGUAUAAGUGAAGCUAUGCUAUUACUACUUACUUUAACGUGUAAGGGCUUCAAGUAUAGAAACUAAUAAUAAUAUGAAAGUAUGAUAGAACAUUAACACAAAUAGUGAGAGAUAGAAUAGAACAUUAACACAAAUAGUGAGAGAUAGAUACUUAUAGGCUUGAUAGUAGAGUGAAGGAAUGAUAUGUAAACCAAUAUACAAAGGUUCUACUUUCGUAUUUCAUGAGAAUUAUAUUAAAAUUAAUGGGAAGGAGUACAUGGCGUAGGAUGGUGCCUUAAUGGCGAGAGAAGGUUUAGAUUUACAUACCUUAGUGCCUUAUUAACUACGUUAAUAAUUCGAGCCUCAAGUUUUCAACCCGCUGGAGUGUAGUCUUUAUUUUUUCCAACCACUAGUCCCUGUUAGCUGAUACGUAAAUAACUAGCUACAAGGAUAACAGAUACGUCCAUUAGUAACUCGUAGGUGCACUUAAUACCUUAUUCCGAUAAUUUUUACUUAUGACCGAAAUUAAUCAAAUUCCUUAACAAGAACCCGGGAUAAAUUUCAACUCCUUCAGCUCAUACAAAUCAACAUAAAAUACAUCCAACUGAUAGAAAUUCCUAAAACUUUACUUUACCAAAAUUUCAUCUCUUUCACGAAUUUUAGUUGUAAAUCCAUCUCAAAAAGUCGUGCAAGGAUUCAAAUUAACCAUAGUUAACAACUUUUACUGCACCCCAACAUUUUCUAUGAUCAAAUUCAAAUAUGAGGUGAAGAAAUUACCUUUUUGAAAGAAUUCUCCAAUUCAAGUUCUUGAGAAUUCUUGAUAAAACUAGUAGUUUCUAGUAAUCAAAGACUAUGAAACGUCUCCCCUUGAAGGAAUAUUUUUCGUAUGCUUUACAAUCCUUUCAAUUUUUCUUGUCAAGAGCUGCACAAAGAGAAUGGUAGAGAACCAUGGGAAAAGUUCCUAGAACGUGAAAUUUGAAAAGGAAUAUAACUUUCCCUUUAGUAUCACUACACACUAUUAUU
rnacentral:lncRNA from 1 species